rnacentral:lncRNA from 1 species
UGGCGCUGCAGGGCGGGCGGGGUAAAGAAGGGAGCGAGCCCUUCUCAAGCUUGGAAAGUUUCCAGACUGCUGGGCCAGCCUCCUCCCCAGAGGGAAACUGAGGUCCGAUUGAGGUUUCUCCAAGACCGCCCACUCCUGCUCCUGUCCCCAAACCCCUUUCUGCCUAGGGUUCCUGGAAGCCAAGGAAACAGAACGAACUGUUCCCUGGGUGGGCGAGCCACUGCAGAGUACAAAGCUUUCAGGCCGCCUGCCUCAUUAGCACUAAUGGCUGCUCCCUUCCGCCCUGUGUCGUCAGGACUGUCUAUGCCUGGUCUCAUCAGCACAAGGCUGGGGUAAGGACUGCCCUUUUGUGGAGAUGACAGGACAUACAGGACCCCGCUGCCCCUGCCUUCCCUCACCCCACUGCAGAGCUGUUUAUCACACACGUGUCCAUCUGGGAAAGGAAUGCAGGCUGAAUCAGCUUUGAGAGGAUCGCAAGGCCCCAGUGCACAAACUGGGUUGGCACAAGGCAGUGGAAAAAAGAUGAAGGGGGCCAGGUAUGGUGGCUCACACCUGUAAUUCCAGCAUUUUGAGAGGCCAAGGUGGGAGGAUCACAAGGCCAGGGGUUUAAGACCAGCCUGGGUAUCAUGGUGAGACCCCGUUGCUACAAAAAAUAAAAAAAUAGCUGGGUGUAGUGGUGCAUGCCUGUAGUAGAGGCUGAGGUGGGAGGAUGGCUUGAGCACAGGGAUUCGAGAGUGCAGUGAGCUAUGACUGCAUCACCACACUCCAGGCUGAGUGACAGAGCAAGAUCCUGUCUCAAAAAGAAAAGAAGAUAAAGGGUGGCCAGGCAUGGUGGCUCACGCCUGUAAUCCCAGCAUUUUGGGAGGCCAAGGUGGGCGGAUCACUGGAGGUCAGGAGUUCAAACCAGCCUGGCCAAUAUGGUGAAACCCUAUCUCUACUAAAAAUACAAAAGUUAUUCAGGCAUGGUGGCACAUGCCUGUAAUCCCA